rnacentral:lncRNA from 1 species
CUUUGGACUACUGAACCACAGCACCUCCCUCCUUCAUUGUGCUCUCUCCUUCACUGUUCCCUGCCCUGUGAGGGCUGACAGACGUGGAAACCCAGACCACAGAGAUGAGCAAAGUAGCCCAAGGACCUGCUGCUCACGGGAAGUUGCACUGGGAUUUGUACUCGGGACUUGGAACUCAUCCGACUCCACGUGACCUCCACCCUUCGGCUCUCAAAGGGAUAAGUACCUUACCCCACUGCAGCGCUAAGGCUGGGCCCUGCUCUGUGAUCCAACCCACACACUGCACAAAGAGAGGGUGGCCGGUUCUCACUGAUGCCCUUUGCACAUGUGAACAUCUCUGCUGUCUCUCCCUGCUCCUAAUAACCUAGUGACACUGUGUCAUGUGCAGUUGCUCGGGAAUGAUCCACCCCAAGAGGCCCCUGCCUUAUGAGCAUGGGAUUUUCCACCCUGGGCUCUUCUCCUUUGCUCUGUGUCAGACCCUCUUGGUGUGGCGGUGAAUGCAGACUCCUGGGAUCACCAUUUCUGAGUGCAUAGAGUAAAGUGCAAAGGUCACCAGUCUUACUGAGCACAGCUUAAUUUAUGAACCCAGGUUAAGUUAGCUCAAGCACGAGAACAAAACUACAGCAGGCUGGGUGUAGGGAGGGGUGAGUUUAUUGGCUUAAAGCGGGGAGGGGUGUCAGCAAACCAUGGCCCUGGCCCCGAUCUCACCAGCUACCUUUCUUGUGAAGUUUAUUGUAAACUAUUAUUUCCACUCAUCUGUAUCUCACCUGUGGCUUUUUUCCUAAGGAGCUAAACUGCAAACAUUCUCCCAUUUUCUUUGCAAAGCAGAUGUGUCUCCCUUGCUGCGCCCGAGACCGCUUUCCAGCUGGGCUAGGGCUGUGCGGGUGGUAGAGCAUCUGCCUGGUAGGGUGAAGCCCUGGGUUUCAUCCUCAGCCCCCCCAAAACACAGAAGAGAUGAACCUUCCAGGAUUCCUUGGGGCUCCAAGCAUUUGCCCAAGGUGUCGGACAUGGCUGCUGUUGAGGUCCGACCAGUGACGGGCUUCACUUUAGGACCCUUCUCGCCAGGCCUAGAACUGGGGAGGCAAGUCCAUCCUUCUUCUGUUGGUUACUCCGAGGGUGCCCAAUUGUUACCUCACAGAAGCCGACUCUGACCCAGGACCACUCUCAGUUAACCCCCAAUUUAAGUGUGUGAAGAGGUCCCAGGAUUGCCACGGAGACGGAAAUGGACACAGAUUCAACAACCUCCUUAUUACAGAAGUGGAGCCAACGGGUUCUGAAGGGUCUAAAAGAAAACAGCGUCUCAGUUCCAUUUCUGUAAUAGGAACGGAAACAAAGGUGGGGGAAUCUGCUAACGCCCGUCCAGACCCGGCCUGG